rnacentral:rRNA from 1 species
GAUAAACGCUAGCGGCAGGCCUAACACAUGCAAGUCGAGGGGUAACGAUGUCUUCGGACAGUCGACGACCGGCGCACGGGUGAGUAUCGCGUUUGUAACCUACCUUUAACUGGAGAAUAGCCCGAAGAAAUUCGGAUUAAUACUCCAUAAUACUAUGAACUGGCAUCUUUUUAUAGUUAAAGCUCCGGCGGUUAAAGAUGGGCAUGCGUAACAUUAGUUUGUUGGGGAGGUAACGGCUCACCAAGACUACGAUGUUUAGGGGGUCUGAGAGGAUGGUCCCCCACACUGGUACUGAGACACGGACCAGACUCCUACGGGAGGCAGCAGUGAGGAAUAUUGGUCAAUGGGCGAAAGCCUGAACCAGCCAUGCCGCGUGAAGGAUGACAGCGCUACGCGUUGUAAACUUCUUUUGUACAGGAAGAAACACUUCUACGUGUAGAAGCU